ACAGAAGACAACUGGGUACACUUUGAGUGUGAGAUUUCCCACUGACAUUCAAAGAUGAAUGUUGUUACAGCAACUCUGCUUCUUCUGUUGAUGACUGCACUGAUUGCCAAUGGUGUCCCAAUGAACACGAGCCAGCGUUGUCUUUGUAAGGGGAAGCUUAGAGAUAGAGUGAGGUGUACCAAUAUUUCUGGGGUGCGUGUGGUGCCUGCCAGUUCGUCCUGUGAUAACAAAGAGAUUGUUGUGAAGUUGAAGAAGGGAAGAAGAGUGUGCCUAAACCCUGCAUCAAGACAGGGCAAAGCAAUCCAGUCAUCAAACUCCCACCCCUCUCAAUGGAUUUCUGUGCAAUGUAAAAGCUGAUGUGAUUUCUUUCAUAUCAUAAUUUCACAUUUGUAUUUAUUUAUUAUGUAUCUAUUUGCUAUGAUUGUACAUCUCAAUACACCUCAAUACAUAUUGACACUCCUUUCUCAGUGUGUUUGUGUCUGUGUGCAUGGGAAGUGAAACCAGUCGAUAGGCUGGCCAAAGCAAAGAUUAAAACCAAAGCAAAACUAUAUGGGACAAUAACACUUGGUGAAAGGGUAAUGACUUGGAUCACAUGAAACCACAUGCCUGGGUGACAAUGGGACAUGUUUCUUCAGUUUUCUUUUCCCACGAAGAUGGCAUUUGGGCACAAAAACAGCAUUUGUGCCAACACAAAGCAAAAUGGAG
rnacentral:lncRNA from 1 species